ensembl:lncRNA
AGGGAGAGGGAGACAGGUUGGUGGGGAUAGAAGAGUAGCAGGGAGAGGGAGACAGGUUGGUGGGGAGAGAAGAGUAGCAGGGAGAGGAAGACAGCUUGGUGGGGAGAGAAGAGUGUCCGGGAGAGGGAGACAGGUUGGUGGGGAAAGAAGAGUAGCAGGGAGAGGGAGACAGCUUGGUGGGGAGAGAAGAGUAGCAGGGAGAGGAAGACAGCUUGGUGGGGAGAGAAGAGUGUCCGGGAGAGGGAGACAGGUUGGUGGGGAAAGAAGAGUAGCAGGGAGAGGGAGACAGGUUGGUGGGGAUAGAAUAGUAGCAGGGAGAGGGAGACAGGUUUGUGGGGAGAGAAGAGUAGCAGGGAGAGGAAGACAGCUUGGUGGGGAGAGAAGAGUGUCCGGGAGAGGGAGACAGGUUGGUGGGGAAAGAAGAGUAGCAGGGAGAGGGAGACAGGUUGGUGGGGAGAGAAGAGUAGCAGGGAGAGGAAGACAGCUUGGUGGGGAGAGAAGAGUAGCAGGGAGAGGGAGACAGCUUGGUGGGGAGAGAAGAGUAGCAGGGAGAGGGAGACAGCUUGGUGGGGAGAGAAGAGUAGCAGGGAGAGGG